CCAGUGAUAUCAUUAGGGUGUGCAGCUUUAUCAAUUGAAGCACCCUCAACCAUUAAAAAGAAUCCUUUAUUAUUUUUACUUAAUUUAUUAAGUGCACUGUUUUG
rnacentral:sRNA from 19 species